UACGAAGGGGGCUAGCGUUGCUCGGAAUCACUGGGCGUAAAGGGCGCGUAGGCGGGUCUUUAAGUCAGGGGUGAAAUCCUGGAGCUCAACUCCAGAACUGCCUUUGAUACUGGCGAUCUUGAGUUCGGGAGAGGUGAGUGGAACUGCGAGUGUAGAGGUGAAAUUCGUAGAUAUUCGCAAGAACACCAGUGGCGAAGGCGGCUCACUGGCCCGAUACUGACGCUGAGGCACGAAAGCGUGGGGAGCAAACAGG
rnacentral:rRNA from 1 species